rnacentral:rRNA from 1 species
UUAAGUGACUAAGCGUACACGGUGGAUGCCCUGGCAGUCAGAGGCGAUGAAGGACGUGCUAAUCUGCGAUAAGCGUCGGUAAGGUGAUAUGAACCGUUAUAACCGGCGAUUUCCGAAUGGGGAAACCCAGUGUGUUUCGACACACUAUCAUUAACUGAAUCCAUAGGUUAAUGAGGCGAACCGGGGGAACUGAAACAUCUAAGUACCCCGAGGAAAAGAAAUCAACCGAGAUUCCCCCAGUAGCGGCGAGCGAACGGGGAGCAGCCCAGAGCCUGAAUCAGUGUGUGUGUUAGUGGAAGCGUCUGGAAAGGCGCGCGAUACAGGGUGACAGCCCCGUACACAAAAAUGCACAUACUGUGAGCUCGAUGAGUAGGGCGGGACACGUGGUAUCCUGUCUGAAUAUGGGGGGACCAUCCUCCAAGGCUAAAUACUCCUGACUGACCGAUAGUGAACCAGUACCGUGAGGGAAAGGCGAAAAGAACCCCGGCGAGGGGAGUGAAAAAGAACCUGAAACCGUGUACGUACAAGCAGUGGGAGCACGCUUAGGCGUGUGACUGCGUACCUUUUGUAUAAUGGGUCAGCGACUUAUAUUCUGUAGCAAGGUUAACCGAAUAGGGGAGCCGAAGGGAAACCGAGUCUUAACUGGGCGUUAAGUUGCAGGGUAUAGACCCGAAACCCGGUGAUCUAGCCAUGGGCAGGUUGAAGGUUGGGUAACACUAACUGGAGGACCGAACCGACUAAUGUUGAAAAAUUAGCGGAUGACUUGUGGCUGGGGGUGAAAGGCCAAUCAAACCGGGAGAUAGCUGGUUCUCCCCGAAAGCUAUUUAGGUAGCGCCUCGUGAAUUCAUCUCCGGGGGUAGAGCACUGUUUCGGCAAGGGGGUCAUCCCGACUUACCAACCCGAUGCAAACUGCGAAUACCGGAGAAUGUUAUCACGGGAGACACACGGCGGGUGCUAACGUCCGUCGUGAAGAGGGAAACAACCCAGACCGCCAGCUAAGGUCCCAAAGUCAUGGUUAAGUGGGAAACGAUGUGGGAAGGCCCAGACAGCCAGGAUGUUGGCUUAGAAGCAGCCAUCAUUUAAAGAAAGCGUAAUAGCUCACUGGUCGAGUCGGCCUGCGCGGAAGAUGUAACGGGGCUAAACCAUGCACCGAAGCUGCGGCAGCGACGCUGAUGCGUUGUUGGGUAGGGGAGCGUUCUGUAAGCCUGUGAAGGUGUGCUGUGAGGCAUGCUGGAGGUAUCAGAAGUGCGAAUGCUGACAUAAGUAACGAUAAAGCGGGUGAAAAGCCCGCUCGCCGGAAGACCAAGGGUUCCUGUCCAACGUUAAUCGGGGCAGGGUGAGUCGACCCCUAAGGCGAGGCCGAAAGGCGUAGUCGAUGGGAAACAGGUUAAUAUUCCUGUACUUGGUGUUACUGCGAAGGGGGGACGGAGAAGGCUAUGUUGGCCGGGCGACGGUUGUCCCGGUUUAAGCGUGUAGGCUGGUUUUCCAGGCAAAUCCGGAAAACUAAGGCUGAGGCGUGAUGACGAGGCACUACGGUGCUGAAGCAACAAAUGCCCUGCUUCCAGGAAAAGCCUCUAAGCAUCAGGUAACAUCAAAUCGUACCCCAAACCGACACAGGUGGUCAGGUAGAGAAUACCAAGGCGCUUGAGAGAACUCGGGUGAAGGAACUAGGCAAAAUGGUGCCGUAACUUCGGGAGAAGGCACGCUGAUAUGUAGGUGAAGCGACUUGCUCGUGGAGCUGAAAUCAGUCGAAGAUACCAGCUGGCUGCAACUGUUUAUUAAAAACACAGCACUGUGCAAACACGAAAGUGGACGUAUACGGUGUGACGCCUGCCCGGUGCCGGAAGGUUAAUUGAUGGGGUCAGCGCAAGCGAAGCUCUUGAUCGAAGCCCCGGUAAACGGCGGCCGUAACUAUAACGGUCCUAAGGUAGCGAAAUUCCUUGUCGGGUAAGUUCCGACCUGCACGAAUGGCGUAAUGAUGGCCAGGCUGUCUCCACCCGAGACUCAGUGAAAUUGAACUCGCUGUGAAGAUGCAGUGUACCCGCGGCAAGACGGAAAGACCCCGUGAACCUUUACUAUAGCUUGACACUGAACAUUGAGCCUUGAUGUGUAGGAUAGGUGGGAGGCUUUGAAGUGUGGACGCCAGUCUGCAUGGAGCCGACCUUGAAAUACCACCCUUUAAUGUUUGAUGUUCUAACGUUGACCCGUGAUCCGGGUUGCGGACAGUGUCUGGUGGGUAGUUUGACUGGGGCGGUCUCCUCCUAAAGAGUAACGGAGGAGCACGAAGGUUGGCUAAUCCUGGUCGGACAUCAGGAGGUUAGUGCAAUGGCAUAAGCCAGCUUGACUGCGAGCGUGACGGCGCGAGCAGGUGCGAAAGCAGGUCAUAGUGAUCCGGUGGUUCUGAAUGGAAGGGCCAUCGCUCAACGGAUAAAAGGUACUCCGGGGAUAACAGGCUGAUACCGCCCAAGAGUUCAUAUCGACGGCGGUGUUUGGCACCUCGAUGUCGGCUCAUCACAUCCUGGGGCUGAAGUAGGUCCCAAGGGUAUGGCUGUUCGCCAUUUAAAGUGGUACGCGAGCUGGGUUUAGAACGUCGUGAGACAGUUCGGUCCCUAUCUGCCGUGGGCGCUGGAGAACUGAGGGGGGCUGCUCCUAGUACGAGAGGACCGGAGUGGACGCAUCACUGGUGUUCGGGUUGUCAUGCCAAUGGCACUGCCCGGUAGCUAAAUGCGGAAGAGAUAAGUGCUGAAAGCAUCUAAGCACGAAACUUGCCCCGAGAUGAGUUCUCCCUGACUCCUUGAGAGUCCUGAAGGAACGUUGAAGACGACGACGUUGAUAGGCCGGGUGUGUAAGCGCAGCGAUGCGUUGAGCUAACCGGUACUAAUGAACCGUGAGGCUUAACCU